rnacentral:rRNA from 1 species
CUACGGGGGGCAGCAGUGGGGAAUAUUGCACAAUGGGGGAAACCCUGAUGCAGCCAUGCCGCGUGUAUGAAGAAGGCCUUCGGGUUGUAAAGUACUUUCAGCAGUGAGGAAGGGUGAUAAAUUAAUACUUUAUCAUUUUGACGUUAGCUGCAGAAGAAGCACCGGCUAACUCCGUGCCAGCAGCCGCGGUAAUACGGAGGGUGCGAGCGUUAAUCGGAAUUACUGGGCGUAAAGCGCAUGCAGGUGGUCUGUUAAGUCAGAUGUGAAAGCCCGGGGCUUAACCUCGGAAUCGCAUUUGAAACUGGCAGGCUAGAGUACUGUAGAGGGGGGUAGAAUUUCAGGUGUAGCGGUGAAAUGCGUAGAGAUCUGAAGGAAUACCGGUGGCGAAGGCGGCCCCCUGGACAGAUACUGACACUCAGAUGCGAAAGCGUGGGGAGCAAACAGGAUUAGAUACCCUGGUAGUC